AUGAACGCUAGCGACAGGCUUAACGCAUGCAAGUCGAGGGGCAGCAUGAUUUGUAGCAAUACAGAUUGAUGGCGACCGGCGCACGGGUGAGUAACGCGUAUGCAACUUACCUAUCAGAGGGGGAUAGCCCGGCGAAAGUCGGAUUAAUACCCCAUAAAACAGGGGUCCCGCAUGGGAAUAUUUGUUAAAGAUUCAUCGCUGAUAGAUAGGCAUGCGUUCCAUUAGGCAGUUGGCGGGGUAACGGCCCACCAAACCGACGAUGGAUAGGGGUUCUGAGAGGAAGGUCCCCCACAUUGGUACUGAGACACGGACCAAACUCCUACGGGAGGCAGCAGUGAGGAAUAUUGGUCAAUGGCCGAGAGGCUGAACCAGCCAAGUCGCGUGAAGGAAGAAGGAUCUAUGGUUUGUAAACUUCUUUUAUAGGGGAAUAAAGUGGAGGACGUGUCCUUUUUUGUAUGUACCCUAUGAAUAAGCAUCGGCUAACUCCGUGCCAGCAGCCGCGGUAAUACGGAGGAUGCGAGCGUUAUCCGGAUUUAUUGGGUUUAAAGGGUGCGUAGGUGGUGAUUUAAGUCAGCGGUGAAAGUUUGUGGCUCAACCAUAAAAUUGCCGUUGAAACUGGGUUACUUGAGUGUGUUUGAGGUAGGCGGAAUGCGUGGUGUAGCGGUGAAAUGCAUAGAUAUCACGCAGAACUCCGAUUGCGAAGGCAGCUUACUAAACCAUAACUGACACUGAAGCACGAAAGCGUGGGGAUCAAACAGGAUUAGAUACCCUGGUAGUCCACGCAGUAAACGAUGAUUACUAGGAGUUUGCGAUACAAUGUAAGCUCUACAGCGAAAGCGUUAAGUAAUCCACCUGGGGAGUACGCCGGCAACGGUGAAACUCAAAGGAAUUGACGGGGGCCCGCACAAGCGGAGGAACAUGUGGUUUAAUUCGAUGAUACGCGAGGAACCUUACCCGGGUUUGAACGUAGUCUGACCGGAGUGGAAACACUCUUUCUAGCAAUAGCAGAUUACGAGGUGCUGCAUGGUUGUCGUCAGCUCGUGCCGUGAGGUGUCGGCUUAAGUGCCAUAACGAGCGCAACCCUUAUCACUAGUUACUAACAGGUGAAGCUGAGGACUCUGGUGAGACUGCCAGCGUAAGCUGUGAGGAAGGUGGGGAUGACGUCAAAUCAGCACGGCCCUUACAUCCGGGGCGACACACGUGUUACAAUGGCGUGGACAAAGGGAAGCCACCUGGCGACAGGGAGCGAAUCCCCAAACCACGUCUCAGUUCGGAUCGGAGUCUGCAACCCGACUCCGUGAAGCUGGAUUCGCUAGUAAUCGCGCAUCAGCCAUGGCGCGGUGAAUACGUUCCCGGGCCUUGUACACACCGCCCGUCAAGCCAUGGGAGCCGGGGGUACCUGAAGUCCGUAACCGCAAGGAUCGGCCUAGGGUAAAACUGGUGACUGGGGCU
rnacentral:rRNA from 1 species